CCUACGGGAGGCAGCAGUGGGGAAUAUUGCACAAUGGGCGCAACCCUGAUGCAGCGACGCCGCGUGAAUGAAGAAGUAUUUCGGUACGUAAAGCUCUAUCAGCAGGGAAGAAAAUGACGGUACCUGUCUAAGAAGCCCCGGCUAACUACGUGACAGCAGCCGCGGUAAUACGUCGGGGGCAAGCGUUCUCCGGUUUUACUGGGGGUAGAGGGAGCGUAGACGGCAGGGCAAGUCAGGAGUGAAAUCCCAGGGCUUAACCAUGGAACUGCUUUGGAUACUGGGCAGCUAGAGGUCAGUAGAGGGAAGCGGAAUUCCUGGUGUAGCGGUGAAAUGCGUAGAUAUUAGGAGGAACACCGGUGGCGAAGGCGGCUUACUGGACGGUAACUGACGUUGAGGCUCGAAAGCGUGGGGAGCAAACAGGAUUAGAUACCCCUGUAGUA
rnacentral:rRNA from 1 species